AGGGAAUAUUGGUCAACGGGUGAGAGCCUGAACCAGCCAUGCCGCGUGCAGGAAGCCGGCCGUCUGGGUUGUAAACUGCUUUUUACUGGGGAUAAAACGCCCUUGCGAGGGAGAUUGAAGGUACCGGUAGAAUAAGCCACGGCUAACUACGUGCCAGCAGCCGCGGUAAUACGUAGGUGGCAAGCGUUGUCCGGAUUCAUUGGGUUUAAAGGGUGCGUAGGCGGCUAAUUAAGUCAGUGCUGAAAUAUCACAGCUUAACUGUGAGGGUGGCAUUGAUACUGGAUAGCUUGAGUACAGACGAGGUAGGCGGAAUUGACGGUGUAGCGGUGAAAUGCAUAGAUAUCGUCAAGAACACCGAUAGUGUAGACAGCUUACUAGACUGUAACUGACGCUGAGGCACGAAAGUGUGGGGAUCAA
rnacentral:rRNA from 1 species